AUCAGGGUGGCUGAUCAGUCCAAAGCACUGCAUUUAGGCUGCAGUCUUCUCCGGAGGCGUGAGUUCAAAUCCCACUCCUGACG
rnacentral:tRNA from 1 species